rnacentral:rRNA from 1 species
GAUCCUGGCUCAGAAUGAACGCUGGCGGCGUGCUUAACACAUGCAAGUCGAACGAGAAAGGGAUUGCUUGCAAUCCUGAGUAGAGUGGCGCACGGGUGAGUAACACGUAGAUAAUCUACCUUCAAGCCUGGAAUAACUAUUCGAAAGGAUAGCUAAUACCGGAUAAAGUUGUUCAACUCAAGUUGAAUUAUGAAAGAUUGCCUCUUCAUGAAAGCAAUUGUUUGGAGAUGAGUUUGCGGACCAUUAGUUAGUUGGUGGGGUAAAGGCCUACCAAGACUACGAUGGUUAGCUGGUCUGAGAGGAUGAUCAGCCACACUGGAACUGGUACACGGUCCAGACUCCUACGGGAGGCAGCAGUGAGGAAUUUUGCGCAAUGGGGGAAACCCUGACGCAGCAACGCCGCGUGAGUGAAGAAGGCCCUUGGGUCGUAAAGCUCUGUCUACAGGGAAGAAAUUGUAUUAUUCUAAUAGGGUAAUACAUUGACGGUACCUGUAGAGGAAGCACCGGCUAACUCCGUGCCAGCAGCCGCGGUAAUACGGGGGGUGCAAGCGUUAUUCGGAAUUAUUGGGCGUAAAGGGCGCGUAGGCGGUCUUGUCGGUCAGAUGUGAAAGCCCAGGGCUCAACCCUGGACGUGCAUUUGAAACAGCAAGACUUGGAUACUGGAGAGGAGAGCGGAAUUCCUGGUGUAGAGGUGAAAUUCGUAGAUAUCAGGAGGAACACCGAUGGCGAAGGCAGCUCUCUGGACAGAUAUUGACGCUGAGGCGCGAAGGCGUGGGUAGCGAACAGGAUUAGAUACCCUGGUAGUCCACGCAGUAAACGAUGUUCACUAGGUGUAGCGGGUAUUAAAAUCUGCUGUGCCCAAGCUAACGCAUUAAGUGAACCGCCUGGGGAGUACGGUCGCAAGACUAAAACUCAAAGGAAUUGACGGGGGCCCGCACAAGCGGUGGAGCAUGUGGUUUAAUUCGACAACGCGAAGAACCUUACCUGGGUUUGACAUCCUGUGAAUUUUCAAGAAAUUGAGAAGUGCCUUCGGGAACACAGUGACAGGUGCUGCGUGGCUGUCGUCAGCUCGUGUCGUGAGAUGUUUGGUUAAGUCCAGCAACGAGCGCAACCCUUAUCGUUAGUUGCCAGCACGUAAUGGUGGGAACUCUAACGAGACUGCCCGGGUUAACCGGGAGGAAGGUGGGGAUGACGUCAAGUCCUCAUGGCCCUUAUAUCC